rnacentral:rRNA from 1 species
CGAAGUGGUUGAUGCCAUGCUUCCAAGAAAAGCUUCUAAGCUUCAGGUAACCAGGAACCGUACCCCAAACCGACACAGGUGGUCGGGUAGAGAAUACCAAGGCGCUUGAGAGAACUCGGGUGAAGGAACUAGGCAAAAUGGCACCGUAACUUCGGGAGAAGGUGCGCCGGCUAGGGUGAAGGAUUUACUCCGUAAGCUCUGGCUGGUCGAAGAUACCAGGCCGCUGCGACUGUUUAUUAAAAACACAGCACUCUGCAAACACGAAAGUGGACGUAUAGGGUGUGACGCCUGCCCGGUGCCGGAAGGUUAAUUGAUGGGGUUAGCGCAAGCGAAGCUCUUGAUCGAAGCCCCGGUAAACGGCGGCCGUAACUAUAACGGUCCUAAGGUAGCGAAAUUCCUUGUCGGGUAAGUUCCGACCUGCACGAAUGGCGUAACGAUGGCGGCGCUGUCUCCACCCGAGACUCAGUGAAAUUGAAAUCGCUGUGAAGAUGCAGUGUAUCCGCGGCUAGACGGAAAGACCCCGUGAACCUUUACUGUAGCUUUGCACUGGACUUUGAGCCUGCUUGUGUAGGAUAGGUGGGAGGCUUUGAAGCGUGGACGCCAGUUCGCGUGGAGCCAUCCUUGAAAUACCACCCUGGCAUGCUUGAGGUUCUAACUCUGGUCCGUGAUCCGGAUCGAGGACAGUGUAUGGUGGGCAGUUUGACUGGGGCGGUCUCCUCCUAAAGAGUAACGGAGGAGUACGAAGGUGCGCUCAGACCGGUCGGAAAUCGGUCGUAGAGUAUAAAGGCAAAAGCGCGCUUGACUGCGAGACAGACACGUCGAGCAGGUACGAAAGUAGGUCUUAGUGAUCCGGUGGUUCUGUAUGGAAGGGCCAUCGCUCAACGGAUAAAAGGUACUCCGGGGAUAACAGGCUGAUACCGCCCAAGAGUUCAUAUCGACGGCGGUGUUUGGCACCUCGAUGUCGGCUCAUCACAUCCUGGGGCUGAAGCCGGUCCCAAGGGUAUGGCUGUUCGCCAUUUAAAGUGGUACGCGAGCUGGGUUUAGAACGUCGUGAGACAGUUCGGUCCCUAUCUGCCGUGGACGUUUGAGAUUUGAGAGGGGCUGCUCCUAGUACGAGAGGACCGGAGUGGACGAACCUCUGGUGUUCCGGUUGUCACGCCAGUGGCAUUGCCGGGUAGCUAUGUUCGGAAAAGAUAACCGCUGAAAGCAUCUAAGCGGGAAACUUGCCUCAAGAUGAGAUCUCACUGGGAACUUGAUUCCCCUGAAGGGCCGUCGAAGACUACGACGUUGAUAGGCUGGGUGUGUAAGCGUUGUGAGGCGUUGAGCUAACCAGUACUAAUUGCCCGUGAGGCUUGACCAU